AAUGUUUAGGUAACAUUUUUCAUCAUUUUGGCCAGCUAAAUGUCUGGUAUAUGUAAUGGCUUUAUGCAUUUAUUCAAUGUAAUGAAAAUCUUUUAAAUUCUUCUUCAUUUUCUGGUUUUACUUGAGCACUUUUAAGUUCACAAAACUAUAGCCGAUUCUCUUGUUUGAUCAGCAAGAAAUUGAAGCUUAUUGCUUAAGUUUCUGUCAAAGUUUCACAUUGUUCCAACAAAAAAGCUCAUACGGACAUGCUUGGUGGAAUUGAAGAAACUUGCAGAAGCAGAAGAUUUGAGUUGGAAAUGAUGUUAGACUCAUUCAAUCAGUCUUUUCUCCUGAAAGUGAGUCAAAUUUAAUUGCUUGACAUCAAAAGCACUAUCUCUACUUUAUCUUCCAUACGUAAUUAUGUAUGUAUCUAUAUUUACUUGAUGCAUAUUCGUCUUCGUAUACAUAUUAAUUAUAUUAGGGUUUCUUUAGAAAGAAAAUACAAGUGUUGAACAUGAGGGCUGAAACCAAUUGCUUUUCUCCCAUACAGGAGUUCAUUCGACCAAUAGGAUUUGAUGACCAUGUUAACUUGGGAUGAACGAAAGAUGGGUGUGAAGUUUAAUGAUGAAAAUGAUAGUAAUUAAGUAGUAGUUGGAUUGUUACACCUUCUUUGCUUUCUUCGACAAUUUCAUUAAAGUGCCUGCCUUGCAUGUGGGUGAAGUUGAGCCAAACACCAAUGAAACAAGAUUACUUUCCAAUCAACUAUAAUUCAAAUUUUUAAGUUUUUGAUGUAAUAUUUGAUUAAAAUUUUGAAAAAGUUAUAUCCAUAAAAUUAAUUCAUUAAACACUUUAGUAGAAAAUGUUAUAGUAAUUUUUGAAGUUAGAC
rnacentral:lncRNA from 1 species